CCACUGUAAAUACAGGAUUCCUGAAAACAUUUUGCUACGUGGAUGGAACUCAAAUUAAAACUGUCAAGAGAGAGGGAGUACAUGCCCUUAAUGUACAGUACUUAUGACAGAGAUAAUGACGCUGAUGCCAACAGAAAUUGUCUUCUCCAGUAUGAUGGAGGAUGGUGGUUUAAUAGUUUAAACAAUUGCUCCACUAGGUCAUUUCGGGACUAACACAUGCACGGCCUCGUCCCUUGUUAGAGCCAGAAGGCGCUUCAACAUCAGUGAAAGACGGUCGUGUAUUUGUGUUAUAAGCUGACCGAUCACGCCCAUCACGUCAUCAAUAUGUCUGAUCAAUCAGAAUCAACUAAAACCAACCCUGUUAUAUAUCAUUUUAACGGCACCAGUAAUAUACAAUUUGGCAAUGAUAACCAUUUUACUAAUCAACUAAAAGAUGACGUGGACGACAUGAAAUAUGAAAUGGAAGAGAAAAUAGAGAAACUCACCGAUGACGUGGAUACCUUGAGAAUUGAACUGGAUGUUAAAAACGAUCAAAUACACAAACUCACCGAUGACGUGGAUACCUUGAGAAUUGAACUGGAUGUUAAAAACGAUCAAAUACACAAACUCACUGAUGGAAUGAACCAAAUGACAGAGAGAGUGAGGAUUCUAGAAGAUGAAACGGUGGUCAAGAAAACUAACGUUAAUAAAAAUUCAGACAAGACAGACGAAAUGAUUACUCUCAAUAUAUGUCGGUAUGAUGAUACGACUAUAAGUACUAUAAGUAUUAGUAGAGAUCAAACAGUGAAUGAAUUAGAGAAGAUACUGGAGAAGAAGCUUAGAAAGUGUGGUUGUUAUAUUGGUUCUAUCUACAGUGAUGAUGAGAGACAGAUCAAGUACCACUACAAACAACACAACAAACAUCUCUCAUUAUCACAGUUUAAUAUAAAAGAUAGAGAUAAAGUCUACUGGUACUACUAGUCUGUUGAUGGUGUAUAAAAUAUUAAAUCAUAUAUACUAACUAUAAAACAAUAUUAAACAUUUAACUUGAACAUUGAAUUCUAUCUAUGUAUACUAACUAUAAAACAAUAUUAAACAUUUAACUAGAACAUAUUAUACUGUAUAAAGUAAUGAUAUAGUUUGUAUGAUAUUAUACUGUAUAGAGUAA